AGAAUAAAGAAAGACAACUUUUUUUUUUGGAAAUUUAGAGACUGCUAAAACAAUCUUAUCCAGUUUUGAGCUUGCUCAUGUAGGUUAGCCUGCUUUAUUUAAUUUUGUGUGAGCUGCAGUACACAACAUUAAAAAGUUAAUAUAACAUUAGGUUGGUGGCGCGAGGAACUCCAACCUAAGUUUAAUAUUUAUUAUUUUUUUAAGUGGGAAGGGGAACAUGUUUUUUUUCCUUUAAUACAACGUCUUCCAGGGUCUUUUUCAUAGGAAAACCAUGUAACGUCUGUGUUAGGUUGGUCAAAAGAGCAAUUAGUUGAAUUAUUCUGGAAAAGAUGGGUUGUGUGUUUUUUUUCUUUUAUUUACUUAUGUAAAUAUAUUUUUCAAGGGUUAAAUAAAUGCAACAUUAAAUUAACAAUUGUCUCUCUGUCUUUUCCCGCCCAGUGUGGUGCAUUGCUGUCCUCCUGCCCUUGCUGGCCGCGCUGACAGUGUGAUGUAGCCUCAGUUCUUUGAGAGACAAGACAAAACAGCAGGGACACAAGAUAUUUUAUGAGCCUGAGCAGAUGCAUGACUUUGCCAGCACCCUUGCUGUCUUCUUUGCAUCAUACUACGUUUUCAACCUUGAGUAUCAGGAGUCAGCGUCCAUCGCACUGGAGAUGAUACAGAGGUUCUUUGUGAGGAUCAAUCCAGACAUGGGAACAAAAUGCCCUGCAAAACUUGGUACAAGCCGCAAGACAGGUCUUGUCGUAAAGAGGAAGGUUACAAGCAUCAGCCCUCGGAUCACCACCUUCCUCCAGCGGCUCUCUGAGUUUGAAUGGAGGACUUCCAACUAGGUGGUGAUAAAGACUACACUGAACCCGACCAUCCUGGUAACGGAAAUCUAAAUCCCAUGUCACAUUCUAUUUCCUGGGACCCACUGAUAAUUAUUACAUUUUGUAAAUGAUUUUUGUUUUACAAGUGUAAUAGUUUAUUUAAUGUUCAUGCUCGUGGGUUUGUCCUGUUUUUAGUGGAAUGAAAAACUGUUUUCCUUAAAAAAAUCAGACACAGAAAGGUGAAGGACUGUGUAGUUUUCAUGUACGCUUCUAUUUAUUUUGGUUAUUGACAUUGUUUUUAUUCAGUUGAAAAAUGUUUUUCUUGUUAAAAAAAAAAGAUCAACAAUAAAUGUUGGUUUAAUUCACUAUUCUGAGACUACUUUAUUGAAUUAUAUUGUUUUUUGUAAAUGUUCUUAUAUUGAAUAUGAAUGUUAAUAUUAUUUUAUAUGCUGUAAAACACAAUUACAGUCUAAACAAAUUAUACUGUACACAAUUACAGUGUUAUACCAUAAACCACAUUUGCA